rnacentral:tRNA from 1 species
GGAGGGGUGCCGGAGCGGUCGAACGGGCCGGUCUCGAAAACCGGUGUACCCGUAAGGGUACCGUGGGUUCGAAUCCCACCCCCUCCGCCA